UGCGUUCAAUCUUGAAUAUCAAGAGUCAGCAUCUACUACACUGGAGUUGGUACAAGGAUCAACCCAGAUGAGGGAAGCAAGUGCAUGGCCGAAGUGGGUACAAGCCGCAAUACAGGAGUUGUCCAAAGAAAGGUGACAAGCAUCAGCUCCCAAGUCACCACCUUCCUCCAACGGCUCACCGAGUUUGAGUGGAAGACAUCAAACUAGUCCAGGACGGACCACCCCAGCAGAUGUGGAUCAGCAAGCAUGAGUAUCAUGGGUCCGGCCCCUUCAUCGUCCUUAACAAAUGCUUCUCAACAGACUGCUUCUCCUUCCCCUCCCCAACCAAAUGCCCAACAACUUCACCUCUGUGGUAAACAACCAUACCACAUUUUUCAAACAUACUCAGGAUUUCAAAGAAAAAAAACAACUGCCGAGAUAAAGGAUGAACUGAUGGCUAGGUUAUUAAUUAAAAAAAUGUGCAUGUGUUUUCUUUGAGUCAAAUCAAAUGGUAACUGCAUUGCUCAGACAUCAAGGCUGCCCAUUGUUUGGCGCAUACUUAAACAUGGUUGUAGUAUUGCUUGUGUGUAA